CCGAGUUUACAACUCCCAAACCCAUGUGAAUCUUACCUUUUCGUUGCUUCGGCGGGAUCGCCCCGGGCGCCUGGAUCCGGGGCACACGAUGGCGCCCGCCGGGGGACUUAAACUCUUGUAUUACUUUGUUUUCUCUGAGUGGAUUACACAAAUAAUCA
rnacentral:misc_RNA from 1 species